GGUGCUUGCACUGGAAGAUUUAGUGGCGAACGGGUGAGGAACACGUGAGGAACCUGCCCCGAACUUUGGGAUAACAGUUGGAAACGACUGCUAAUACCGAAUACCUCCAAAGGAGCACAUGCUCUUUUGAAGAAAGAAUUUCGGUUCGGGAGGGCCUCGCGGCCUAUCAGUUAGUUGGUGGGGUAACGGCCUACCAAGGCAUCGACGGGUAGCUGGUCUGAGAGGAUGAUCAGCCACACUGGAACUGAGAUACGGUCCAGACUCCUACGGGAGGCAGCAGUGGGGAAUCUUGUGCAAUGGACGAAAGUCUGACACAGCCACGCCGCGUGCGGGAAGAAGGCCUUCGGGUCGUAAACCGCUUUCAGCAGGAACGAAAAUGACGGUACCUGCAGAAGAAGGAGCGGCCAACUACGUGCCAGCAGCCGCGGUGACACGUAGGCUCCAAGCGUUGUCCGGAUUUAUUGGGCGUAAAGAGCUCGUAGGCGGUUCAGCAAGUCGGGUGUGAAAACUCUGGGCUUAACCCAGAGCCUGCACUCGAAACUGCUGUGACUAGAGUUUGGUAGGGGAGAGGGGAAUUCCUGGUGUAGCGGUGAAAUGCGCAGAUAUCAGGAGGAACACCGAUGGCGAAGGCACCUCUCUGGGCCAAUACUGACGCUGAGGAGCGAAAGCGUGGGUAGCAAACAGGAUUAGAUACCCUGGUAGUCCACGCCGUAAACGUUGGGCACUAGGUGUGGGUUUCAACUAACGAAAUCCGUGCCGUCGCUAACGCAUUAAGUGCCCCGCCUGGGGAGUACGGUCGCAAGACUAAAACUCA
rnacentral:rRNA from 1 species